rnacentral:rRNA from 1 species
CAACUUUCAACAACGGAUCUCUUGGCUCUCGCAUCGAUGAAGAACGCAGCGAAAUGCGAAACGUAAUGGGAAUUGGAGAAUUCAGUGAAUCAUCGAAUCUUUGAACGCACCUUGCGCCCCUUGGCAUUCCGAGGGGCACACCCGUUUGAGUGUCGUG